ACCUGGUUGUUGUUAUAAUUACACAAAAUGUCUUCUUUUUUUGGUUGUUUGUAUUGUUCUCUACCUGACCGAAAAGCUGUCAUUGUUUUGAACGUGUUAGUUUAAGAACGGUAGCCCCUCCUUUUUUUAUUUCUUCUUUUAUGGUUUUGUCUUUAAAAUGUUUGCGUCCCUUAGGCCCUCCCCUUUUGUCAUGUUGUCCUGCGGGAGAGGACUUGGAGCGGGCAGCUUGUAAAACGAUUGCUUUUCUCUUUAAUGUUUUCGUCAGGUAUGUUGUGUAAAGAAGGUUUAUUUUGUUUAAUGUUGUGAGACAUGAUCCGCCCUUUUGUCAUGUUGUCCUGCGGGAGAGGACUUGGAGCGGGCAGCUUGUAAAACGAUUGCUUUUCUCUUUAAUGUUUUCGUCAGAAUAAAUCGAAGAAAGCCAAA